GUGCCAGCCGCCGCGGUAAUACGGAGGGUGCUAGCGUUGUUCGGAAUUACUGGGCGUAAAGCGCGCGUAGGUGGCUUUGCAAGUUAGAGGUGAAAGCCCGGAGCUCAACUCCGGAAUUGCCUUUAAGACUGCAUCGCUAGAACGUCGGAGAGGUAAGUGGAAUUCCGAGUGUAGAGGUGAAAUUCGUAGAUAUUCGGAAGAACACCAGUGGCGAAGGCGACUUACUGGACGACUGUUGACACUGAGGUGCGAAAGCGGGGGGAGCGAACAGGAUUAGAUACCCCAGUAGUCC
rnacentral:rRNA from 1 species